GACGAACGCUGGCGGCGUGCCUAAUACAUGCAAGUAGAACGCUGAAGCGAGGAGCUUGCUCUUCUUGGAUGAGUUGCGAACGGGUGAGUAACGCGUAGGUAACCUGCCUGGUAGCGGGGGAUAACUAUUGGAAACGAUAGCUAAUACCGCAUAAAAUUGAUUAUUGCAUGAUAAUUAAUUGAAAGAUGCAACUGCAUCACUACCAGAUGGACCUGCGCUGUAUUAGCUAGUUGGUGAGGUAACGGCUCACCAAGGCGACGAUACAUAGCCGACCUGAGAGGGUGAUCGGCCACACUGGGACUGAGACACGGCCCAGACUCCUACGGGAGGCAGCAGUAGGGAAUCUUCGGCAAUGGGGGGAACCCUGACCGAGCAACGCCGCGUGAGUGAAGAAGGGUUUCGGAUCGUAAAGCUCUGUUGUAAGAGAAGAACGGGUGUGAGAGUGGAAAGUUCACACUGUGACGGUAUCUUACCAGAAAGGGACGGCUAACUACGUG
rnacentral:rRNA from 1 species